GUGCCGGCAGCCGCGGUAAUACCGGCAGCCCGAGUGAUGACCGAUCUUAUUGGGCCUAAAGCGUCCGUAGCUGGCUACGCAAGUCCGUCGGGAAAUCCACUCGCCCAACGAGUGGGCGUCCGACGGAAACUGCAUAGCUUGGGACCGGAAGGCUCGAAGGGUACGUUCGGGGUAGGAGUGAAAUCCCAUAAUCCCGCACGGACCACCGAUGGCGAAAGCAUCUCGAGAAAACGGAUCCGACAGUGAGGGACGAAAGCUAGGGUCUCGAACCGGAUUAGAAACCCGUGUAGUCC
rnacentral:rRNA from 1 species